GAAGACCAAAGGGACAGAAAUGGCUGCCAUUGAAGCGAAGAAAACAAGCCUGAGCACCAGC
rnacentral:ribozyme from 1 species